UCUGAAAAGCCGACCUACAUGCAGAGAAAGGCGGGAGGGGCUGCUGGGAGAAGUCUGCUGGAGCUUGUUCAUGCUGAGAGGUUGGGGGUGUGAUUUGAUGGAGAAAUUUCAGAGAUCAUGACUGCUAGAUUAUAUUCUUGAACACUUUUGCUGAUGAACUUGACUUCUGCCUUCAAAGCGAUUUUAACGAGAGGAGGUGCGGAAGACCUACUUAAAACCUGAGAGUCUCGAAUAGGAGAGGCGCUUUCAGAUCAGCCCGAGUCUUCUGCAGCGCACAGGAGCUAGUCGUACUGAAAAGAAUGAAGUUGGACUUGUCCAGGCGAGUUUCGGACAGUGCUGGGCUGCCCUGCUCUGAUCUCCUGGGUGUCUUCACCUCCUCUGGUUCCUAAGUCGGCUGCUGCACCAGCACCCAUCAAACUCUCCUGGAAGAGGAAGUGACAGCUCACCGGUAGCCUAGAAGGCCCCUGUGGGCAGAAGCAUGGACUUACUCCUCCUCAUGGAGAUGCGGCUGAGCCAUAUUUCCUUGGCACCUCUCUGGAACCUUCGACAACCACCACCUCAGACACUAACCAGACUUUAGGUCCAUUCCUUUCAUGGCUAAAAUGAGACAGUCCACAAUGUUGAUUUUAUUUGUAGGGGAUGUCAGGAUUCCAGAAAAGCAGACUUGGAAAGCAACAAAACGUUAACUUGCAGCUCACUGAGGCCCUUACACUUGUUCUGGGCACCUCUGUAUGUUAAAAGAAGUCCAAUAUCUUUAGCUGCUGGUUAUAGGUGGCCAUAUGUUUCUGCACAGAAAUGGGGCUCCCCUUGCUAGACUAAUUUUCUAAUUUUUCCUCAAGCUUCAUUGAUUCAUAUUCUUCUACUUGACCCUGACUGUCAGGACCAACAACACCAAAUAACACCAAAGUCUCUUGCUCCUGUCCUCAGAACCUCUCAGAGGCAUCCUCUGCCCUGUUGGAGCCAUUUUAUUUCAGGUUGAUCCUUAAUUAAAUUCAGCGAGAUGCAGG
rnacentral:lncRNA from 1 species